rnacentral:tRNA from 1 species
GACUCCUUAGCUCAGGCGGUAGAGCAACUGACUUUUAAUCAGUGGGUCGAGAGUUCGAGUCUCUCAGGAGUCACCA